GACGAACGCUGGCGGCGCGCCUAACACAUGCAAGUCGAACGAGCGAGAGGAGGUUUCCUUUCUCAAGCGAGUGGCGAACGGGUGAGUAACGCGUGAGGAACCUGCCUCAAAGAGGGGGACAACAGUUGGAAACGACUGCUAAUACCGCAUAAGCCCACGACCCGGCAUCGGGUAGAGGGAAAAGGAGCAAUCCGCUUUGAGAUGGCCUCGCGUCCGAUUAGCUAGUUGGUGAGGUAAUGGCCCACCAAGGCGACGAUCGGUAGCCGGACUGAGAGGUUGAACGGCCACAUUGGGACUGAGACGCGGCCCAGACUCCUACGGGAGGCAGCAGUGGGGAAUAUUGCACAAUGGGGGAAACCCUGAUGCAGCGACGCCGCGUGGAGGAAGAAGGUCUUCGGAUUGUAAACUCCUGUUGUUGAGGAAGAUAAUGACGGUACUCAACAAGGAAGUGACGGCUAACUACGU
rnacentral:rRNA from 1 species